UACAGAGGGUGCGAGCGUUAAUCGGAAUUAUUGGGCGUAAAGCGCGCGUAGGCGGUUACUCAAGUCGGAUGUGAAAGCCCUCGGCUUAACUGAGGAAGUGCACCCGAAACUGAGUAGCUAGAGUACUAAAGAGGGUCGCGGAAUUCCCGGUGUAGAGGUGAAAUUCGUAGAUAUCGGGAGGAACACCGGUGGCGAAGGCGGCGACCUGGGUAGAUACUGACGCUGAGGCGCGAAAGCGUGGGGAGCAAACAGG
rnacentral:rRNA from 1 species